rnacentral:rRNA from 1 species
UACGGGGGGGGCAAGCGUUGUUCGGAAUUACUGGGCGUAAAGGGCGCGUAGGCGGUCUGUCGCGUCGGAUGUGAAAACUCGGGGCUCAACCCCGAGCCUGCAUUCGAUACGGGCAGACUAGAGUUCGGUAGGGGAGACUGGAAUUCCUGGUGUAGCGGUGAAAUGCGCAGAUAUCAGGAGGAACACCGGUGGCGAAGGCGGGUCUCUGGGCCGAUACUGACGCUGAGGAGCGAAAGCGUGGGGAGCGAACAGG